AUGAACGCUGGCGGCGUGCCUAAUACAUGCAAGUCGAGCGAACAGACGAGGAGCUUGCUCCUAUGACGUUAGCGGCGGACGGGUCAGUAACACGUGGGGAACCUACCUAUAAGACUACGAUAACUUCGGGCAACCGGAGCUAAUACCGGAUAAUAUUUCGACCCUCAUGGUUCGAUAGUGAAAGCUGGCUUUGCUACCACUUAUAGAUGGACCUGCGCCGGAUUAGCUAGUUGGUAAGGUAACGGCUUACCAAGGCAACGAUACGUAGCCGACCUGAGAGGGUGAUAGGCCACACUGGAACUGAGCCACGGUCCAGACUCCUACGGGAGGCAGCAGUAGAGAAACUUACGCAAUGGGCGAAGCCCUGACGGAGCAAAGCCGCGUGAGUGAUGAAGGUCUUCGGCUCGUAAAACUCUGUUAUUAGGGAGGAACAAACGUGUAAGUAACUGUGCACGUCUUGACGGUACCUAAUCAGAAAGCCACGGCUAACUACGUG
rnacentral:rRNA from 1 species